CAAUGCCAGAUCAGACGUGGUGACCCGCUGGAUUUAAGCAUAUUACUAAGCGAAGGAAAAGAAACUAACCAAAAUUCCUUCAGUAACAGCAAGUGAAGAAGGAAUAGCCCAGCAUCAAAUCCCCACCUGGGAGACGGGUGCAGGAAAAUGGGGCAUAUGGAAGUCCAUCUCCCCAGUGCUGCCUAUGGGGCCCAAAUCCUUGUGAGUGAGGAUGGCGGUGGCCCCCGGCACAUCGGGAUCAGGCUUCUCGGAGUUGAGUUGUUUGUGAAUGCAUCCCAAAGUGGGUGGUAAACUCCAUCUAAGGCUAAACACCAGCACAAGACCAAUAGUGGACAAGUACCAUAAGGGAACGUUGAAAAGAACAUUGAAGAGAGAGUUCAAGAGGGAGUGAAACCAUUCAGAGGUAAAUGGGUGGGGGUCCAUGUGGUCCACCCAGAGGAUUCAACAUGGCGGCCAUGCAAGCCGCAUGAGAGAGGUGGAUCCCCUCCCCCUCCAGGGGUGGGGGACCAUCCCCAGGCAUGCUGGCCACCAUUGGGUGCAUUUCCUCUGUGGUGAUGUGCCAUGACCAGCUAUGGGGUCACCGGGAGGGCCAUGGGAAGGUGGUUCCCCUUUCUGUAGGGGAGUGUUACAACCCGCAGCAUCAGCCGUUGCCAUGACCCGGCGUUGUGGGAGACGACCGCUGCUGCACCCACCCCCUCCCUCAUGGUGGGAGCUGGGGGCCAGCUGCUCUCAGUGGGACUGUCGAGUGGACAGGACUGCCCUCAGUAUGGCCUGACCUCAUCCUGCCACAAUGUCGGCGGGCUCACCUCAGGUUCCUGGGGUCUGUGGUGAUGUUGGUGACCCACCUGUCUUGUCUUGAAACACUGACCAAGGAGUCUAACAGGUGCGCAAGUCUGAGGGUGGGCAGGAGACCCCACGGCUCAAUGAAAGUGAGAACCAGUGAGCACUGGCUGAGGCAGGAUCCCCCUGGCCCCACGUGGGGGUGCACCACCAGCCAAUCUCACCCAUACCAUCAGGGAGGUGGAGCAUGAGCACACCUGGUGGGACCCGAAUAAUGGUGAACUAUGCCUGGGCAGGGCAAAGCCAGAGGAAACGCUGGUGGAGGUCCGUAGUGGUCCUGACAUGCAAAUCGCUUGUCUGACCUGGGUAUAGGCACAAAAGACUAAUCGAACCAUCUAGUAGCUGGUCCCCUCCAAAGUUUCUCUCAGGAUAGCUGGUGAUCGGUGGACACAGUUUUAUCUGGUAAAGGAAAUGAUUAGAGGUCUUGGGGUCAAAACGAUCUCAACCUAUUCUCAAACUUUAAAUGGAUAAGAAGCCCAUCUCGCUAGCUGGGAGCCAGGUGUGGAAUUCAAGCACCCAGUGGGCCACUUUUGGUAAGCAGGACUGGCACUUUGGAAAGAACCGAAUGCCAGGUUAAGGCGCCCGAUGCCGAGGCUCAUCAGACCCCAGAAAAGGUGUUUGUUGAUAUAGACAGCAAGAUGGUGGCCAUGAAAGUCAGAAUUCACUAAGGAGUGUGUAACAACUCACCUGCUGAAUCAACUAGCCAUGAAAAUGGAAUGUGCUGGAGCAUUGGGCCCAUACCUGGCUGUCGCUGGUGCUGGGAGCUGAGGGGGAUAAACCACAAUGAGUAGGAGGGCCGCCAUGGUGGCACUGAAGCCCAGGCUGAGGGCCUGGGUGGAGCCGCCACGGGUGCAGAUCUUGGUGGUAGGAACAAAUAUUCAAACGAGAGCUUCAAAGGCCGAAGGGGAGAAGGGUUCCAUGUGAACAGAGUUGAACAUGAGUGAGUAGAUCCUGAGAGAUAGGUGAGCUCCAUUCCGAAGGGACGGGCAAUGGCCUCUGUUACCCUCAGCCAAUUGAAGGGGAGCAAGGUUCAGAUCCCUGAAUCCAGAGUAGCGGAGAUGUGCACCUUGCGUUGUCCAGUGCAGUUAUGCAAACAAUGUUGGAGAAGCUGGCAGGGGCCCCUGGGAGAGUUCUCUUUUCUUUGUAUAGAGCAAGGGUGCCCUGGAAUGGGUUCACCUUGAGAGAGGGGGCUGUGCCCUGGAAAGCAUCGCGGUUCUGUCGGCAUUAGGUGAGCUCUCACCAGCCCUUGAAAAUCCAGGGAAGAGGAUGUAAGUCUUGCGCCGAGCCAUAGCCAUACCCUCAGCAGGUCUCCAAGGUGAACAGCCUCCAGCAUGUUAGAACAAUGAAAGUAAGGGAAAUCUGCAAGCCAGAUCUGUAACUUUGGGAUAAGGAUUGGCACUAAGGGCUGGGUCAGUCGGGCUUGGGUGUGAAGAGGGGAUGGGUGAGCACUGCGGUUGGAUGAGGCAUCACUCCCUUGCCAUGCUCCCCCUCAUGGGAGAGCUGGGGGAAGGUGGGGGUGACUCUGAGUGCAUGCUGGGCUCAUCCUGUGGAUCACCCCAGCUGUGGCGGGUGCCGGUCCCGACUGGUGUCAGUCAUCAUCUGGCAGCUAGCAGCUGACUUAGAACUGGUGCGGACCAGGGGAAUCUGACUGUUUAAUUAA